CUGGAGUUGAAAAGUGGAAACAGAGAAAGGUGUAAAUUAAAGGUUGAGAUAAGAACAAUGUACUGGAAACAGCAACAAGGUAAGAAAACUAACAGUAACAAGAGCCAUAUUGAUAACAAAAGUAUUCAAUAAAGAGGGCGAUGUGCACACAAAAUGGUCACUGAGCCUGACCAGGCAUGACAGGACCUGGCCACAGCUGGUGGCACCUACUCUGACAGUUUCAUCCACCACUCCUGUUCCCCAGUGGAAACCAUGCCCCUUCUCAGAAAUUAUGAGGAACCCUUUUCCCCCUUCCUUUGGCUGUGACACUGGAUGACAUCAAACAACAGAACACCCCCUCCUGCAGAUCUGGGCCUGAACUGGGACAAGAGCUCAUACCCUGCACCAGUAAUAACUUACCAGGCUUUGGUAGGAUGUCUGGAAGGCAAGGACAAUACUUGUUAGUAGAAAUAUGGAUAGUGAAGUAGCUCAUUAAAUUCUAUUUUCUGUGAAAUUUCUGUUUAGGCCACUAGUUGUAACAUUCCUGAUAGAUUUAGAUUGUGCUUUUGCUGUUCAGGAGAAAAGCUUUUUCUCUUCAUGCAGUCUUCAGCACACUUUAUUUCCUGCUGUGUAAUAAUGACACCCUAAAAUACCUCAUUAAUCUGGACAGAUACUAACCAUUCUCAGAGAAUCAUCUCUUUUCCAACCACAACUAACAAAGAAAAGACCUUCAUUUACUGCUAUCAUCUCAUUGUAAAGGAGUUUUUAAUGUCUUCACAGUUGCUCUAUGAAGACUGUCAGGAAUUUUCAAAGCUGUAAACUGCUUUACCUUUACACGUCAAAUUGGAAAUAAAUACACAAAUAUUUUUUAGGGAGUUUGUUGUGCCUUUUUCAAGUAGAACUUUUGUAUGUGCUGCAUUCCCAGCCGCCUUAAUCACAGCAGUUGGGCAGGCGGUCACUGUGUGCUCUUGCCUUUUGGAGCAUCACGCUGAGUGUCAGUUCACCACGUCCUGGCCAAGGCCCUUAGGUCAAUGGAUGGGACUGCCAGACCUAAAAUAAAACAGCCACCCUGCAACUUGGCUUUUGCAGAGAAAACCAAAGCAAUUUGUUUUUCUUUUCCCUAAAGACUUUAAUUUGAGGUAGGAGUCUGGGAGAGGAGGUGGGGUGGAAGGAGGAAGUGGGGAAUGUAUGUCCAAAUCCAAAGCCUGGAUUUUAUUGGCAUCUUGCAGCAGGGAGAGCUUCUCUCUUCCUGGCAGGUCCACCUUUGAUCUCACUAGAACCAAAGUCCAAUGAUAUUUCAAGCUUGCACCACAGUACUUCACCAUAAUGAAAAAAUACCAGCACUAACAUUCAGUUAACCUCAGUAAUGGACAGACAUUCCUACAAGAUUUCCUUAGAAUUGUCUUCCUGAGGAUUUGUGCAGUUUUACAUGUAAGUUUUGUAGUAUGUGAAUACUGCAGUUAGAGCUGACAGCAUCCCUACAACCUGCCUGGAAGAGUUAAAACUGCCCAACCAGAGUUUUGCCUGGAAAACAGAGCUUAAGGUAGGAAAAACACCCCUUAGCUGCAAGGGAUCGUGUUCCUGCCCGGAUUGUCAUUAGUGUUGUUGCCAUGAAUAUCCAAGGCAGGUGGAAAUGUCCUCUGCUGACCACUCUGGUGAGGUGAGGUGUGCUGAGGUGACCCCCUAAUGUGCCUCUGCCCGUGGUAUGGUGCUCCUACAGGGAGCACAGCACGAGCUACUUCCCCCUGUAGUUCCUGCCUGGGGUCCCAAUUCUGUGACAUGAACAUUAAAAAACAAGCAAACAAAACCUGUCCAGAGGCUAGAGCAGCCUCCAGUUUGGGUUUAGAUUAGCUUACAGGCAAGGCCACAGACGGGUACUGCAGACCCGUGCGACUGAGCGGACGGUGGGGACAGCCCUUAGUGUGCCAUUGCUGUAGGAUUGCUCCUGGACUGUUUUCCCAGCGCUGAUUCGAGGGCUGGGGUGCUGUGCUGUGCCCACGCUGCCCUCAGCCCGGACACAAGGCCCGACACGCCGGCUCAGGCCGGGGCUGUCCGGAUGAGCGCGGCUCAGCCUCGUCCGAGAGGAAGGGGUGUGGGCUGAUGUGCGUGUCCCAUCGCCUGCAAACGGCUCUGCCACCCCAUUGUUUCGAGUGUCUCGGUGGAAGCGGAUCAGGAAGCUUAUCUAGAGCCAUCCCCACCCUUUCACCGGCAGCCCUUGUUCGAAAGGGACGCCGCACAUUUCCCUCCCUGGCCCUCCUCCCCUCCGCCCUGAUUCAGAGCAACCCCGGUUCUUCCUAGAGCACUCUGCUCACA